UACGUAGGGGGGCGAGCGUUGUCCGGAUUUACUGGGCGUAAAGGGCUCGUAGGCGGCUUGUCGCGUCGUCUGUGAAAUCCCGCGGCUCAACCGCGGGUCUGCAGUCGAUACGGGCAGGCUAGAGUUCGGUAGGGGAGACUGGAAUUCCUGGUGUAGCGGUGAAAUGCGCAGAUAUCAGGAGGAACACCGGUGGCGAAGGCGGGUCUCUGGGCCGAUACUGACGCUGAGGAGCGAAAGCGUGGGGAGCGAACAGG
rnacentral:rRNA from 1 species